UUGGACGUGCUAUAUUUUGCUAUUUCGACAGUGCAAACCGUUUUUAGGCGGUUGGGCGUGGAGAUGCUGUGAGCCUGUGAGUGUGAGUGAGUGUGUGAGGACUUUUCAUAGCGUUGCACCGAGCGUAGGCUACGCCUCCGCCGACCCACACGCACGCGGGUCAGAGUGUCCGGAGACAGGAACACGCGCCUGCGCUGCCAGCCACCGCAAUGGCGAUGCCGCCCAAGCCCGGCGAGCCGCCGAAGCCCUCGCCNNNNN
rnacentral:lncRNA from 1 species